UGUCCUACAUAAAAUAUUUGAUUACAUACAAUAUAUGAUCAUAUCAGAAAAAUUAGUUAUGUAUCCAUGUAUCGGGUUUGACUCUGAUACUAGUUGAAGAAAAAAUUCUCCGAUCUGAUCAGAUCGCUAGGGUGUGAUUUAAAAAAAAAAUUAUAAUAAGCUAACAUAAAUUUUAUGUUACCUGAUAUGUAGUGGAAUGGGGAUCAAAGUCUCUCAAGAAACUUAAAUCCAUUACCUCAUGAGACC
rnacentral:lncRNA from 1 species